CUUAAUUUGUGUUCCAAAGAUGAACGAAGGUCUUACGGGUGUGGAACGGCAUGAGGUUCAGAUUGGGGUGCUAGACGAAGCCCCUCAGCAUCUUAAAGCAUACCGUAAGACUGCAGUUCCUUGAUGAGAACUGUUUUCUUGACAUCAUAGAAGACCUUGCGGAUGUUGUCGGUGUCCGUUGCACAGGUCUUGGCAUCUUGCGCAUCCCGCUGUUUGCCUGAGGGUGGCACCAAACCACAGAGGAGGGGAGGGGUUAGUACAAGCUUAGAAGUUAAGAGUGAUUGAACUGGGAGGAGCACAUGCAAAUUAAAGAGGCGG